rnacentral:rRNA from 1 species
GACGAACGCUGGCGGCGUGCUUAACACAUGCAAGUCGAACGGUGAUGCUCCAGCUUGCUGGAGUGGAUCAGUGGCGAACGGGUGAGUAACACGUGAGCAACCUGCCCCAGACUCUGGAAUAAGCGCUGGAAACGGCGUCUAAUACUGGAUACGAAACUGGCCCGCAUGGGCAUGGUUUGGAAAGUUUUUCGGUUUGGGAUGGGCUCGCGGCCUAUCAGCUUGUUGGUGAGGUAAUGGCUCACCAAGGCGACGACGGGUAGCCGGCCUGAGAGGGCGACCGGCCACACUGGGACUGAGACACGGCCCAGACUCCUACGGGAGGCAGCAGUGGGGAAUAUUGCACAAUGGGCGAAAGCCUGAUGCAGCGACGCCGCGUGAGGGAUGACGGUCUUCGGGUUGUAAACCUCUUUCAGCAGGGAAGAAGCGAAAGUGACGGUACCUGCAGAAGAAGCACCGGCUAACUACGUG